rnacentral:rRNA from 1 species
ACACUCCUACGGGAGGCAGCAGUGGGGAAUAUUGCACAAUGGGCGCAAGCCUGAUGCAGCGACGCCGCGUGGGGGAUGAAGGCCUUCGGGUUGUAAACUCCUUUCGCUAGGGACGAAGCUUUUUUGUGACGGUACCUAGAUAAGAAGCACCGGCUAACUACGUGCCAGCAGCCGCGGUAAUACGUAGGGUGCGAGCGUUGUCCGGAAUUACUGGGCGUAAAGGGCUCGUAGGUGGUUUGUCGCGUCGUCUGUGAAAUUCUGGGGCUUAACUCCGGGCGUGCAGGCGAUACGGGCAUAACUUGAGUGCUGUAGGGGUAACUGGAAUUCCUGGGGUAGCGGUGAAAUGCGCAGAUAUCAGGAGGAACACCGAUGGCGAAGGCAGGUUACUGGGCAGUUACUGACGCUGAGGAGCGAAAGCAUGGGUAGCGAACAGGAUUAGAAACCCGUGUAGUCCCAU